UUGUCUUCUGCCUCGCUCGGCUGGUCCAAACUCCCACGACUGGUCUUGAGCUGGAUACUUCACUUGUGUUGUAUUAGACUAGAGUAUCUUCAACGACCUUUGAGUGCGGAACCUCCUUUUUCUCACGUAGGUGGACCUCUGCAAUUUGUCUGUUGGGACAUGA
rnacentral:snoRNA from 1 species